rnacentral:rRNA from 1 species
AACGAACGCUGGCGGCAGGCCUAACACAUGCAAGUCGAGCGCCCAGCAAUGGGAGCGGCAGACGGGUGAGUAACACGUGGGAACCUUCCCUAUAGUACGGAAUAUACCAGGGAAACUUGGAGCAAUACCGUAUACGCCCGAGAGGGGAAAGAUUUAUCGCUAUAGGAUGGGCCCGCGUUGGAUUAGCUAGUUGGUGAGGUAACGGCUCACCAAGGCAACGAUCCAUAGCUGGUUUGAGAGAAUGACCAGCCACACUGGGACUGAGACACGGCCCAGACUCCUACGGGAGGCAGCAGUGGGGAAUCUUGGACAAUGGGCGCAAGCCUGAUCCAGCCAUGCCGCGUGAGUGAUGAAGGCCUUAGGGUUGUAAAGCUCUUUUGCCGGGGACGAUAAUGACGGUACCCGGAGAAUAAGUCCCGGCUAACUUCGUGCCAGCCGCCGCAGUAA